CUGCCCUCAAGCCCGGCUUGUGUGUUAGGCCUCGUCCCCCUUCCCAGGGGGACGGGCCCGAAAGGCAGCGGCGGCACCGCGUCCGGUCCUCGAGCGUAUGGGGCUUUGUCACCCGCUCUGUAGGCCCGGCCGGCGCUUGCCGAUCAACCAAAACUAUUUUCCA
rnacentral:misc_RNA from 1 species